GACGAACGCUGGCGGCGUGCUUAACACAUGCAAGUCGAACGGAAAGGCCCUGCUUUUGCGGGGUGCUCGAGUGGCGAACGGGUGAGUAACACGUGAGUAACCUGCCCUUGACUUUGGGAUAACUUCAGGAAACUGGGGCUAAUACAGGAUAGGAGCUCCUGCUGCACGGUGGGGGUUGGAAAGUUUCGGCGGUGGGGGAUGGACUCGAGGCUUAUCAGCUGGAUGGUGGGGUAGUGGCUUACAAAGGCUGUGAGGGAUAGCCGGCCUGAGAGGGUGACCGGCCACAUUGGGACUGAGAUACGGCCCAGACUCCUACGGGAGGCAGCAGUGGGGAAUAUUGCACAAUGGGCGGAAGCCUGAUGCAGCAACGCCGCGUGCGGGAUGACGGCCUUCGGGUUGUAAACCGCUUUCGCCUGUGACGAAGCGUGAGUGACGGUAAUGGGUAAAGAAGCACCGGCUAACUACGUG
rnacentral:rRNA from 1 species